AGAGUUUGAUCAUGGCUCAGGAUGAACGCUAGCUACAGGCUUAACACAUGCAAGUCGAGGGGAAACGACAUCGAAAGCUUGCUUUUGAUGGGCGUCGACCGGCGCACGGGUGAGUAACGCGUAUCCAACCUGCCCACCACUUGGGGAUAACCUUGCGAAAGUAAGACUAAUACCCAAUGACGUCUCUAGAAGAUAUCUGAAGGAGAUUAAAGAUUUAUCGGUGAUGGAUGGGGAUGCGUCUGAUUAGCUUGUUGCGGGGUAAGGCCCACCAAGGCGACGAUCAGUAGGGGUUCUGAGGAGGAAGGUCCCCCACAUUGGAACUGAGACACGGUCCAACUCCUACGGAGGCA
rnacentral:rRNA from 1 species